AUUCCAGCUCCAAUAGCGUAUAUUAAAGUUGUUGCAGUUAAAAAGCUCGUAGUUGGACUUCUGGGCCGUUUUGUUGGUCUGCCGCAAGGCUGUACUAGCGGGAUGGCCCAUCCUCUCGAAGGCUGGGGGUGCUCUUAACUGGGUGCUUUCAGAACUCGGGAUCUUUACUUUGAAAAAAUUAGAGUGUUCAAAGCAGGCUUACGCUUGAAUACAUUAGCAUGGAAUAAUGGAAUAGGACUUUGGUUCUAUUUUGUUGGUUUCUAGAACUGAAGUAAUGAUUAAUAGGGAUAGUUGGGGGCAUUAGUAUUUAAUUGUCAGAGGUGAAAUUCUUGGAUUUAUGAAAGACUAACUUCUGCGAAAGCAUUUGCCAAGGAUGUUUUCAUCA
rnacentral:rRNA from 1 species